UGGGGAAUGUUGCACAAUGGGCGCAAGCCUGAUGCAGCCAUGCCGCGUGUAUGAAGAAGGCCUUGGGUUGUAAAGUACUUUCAGCGGGGAGGAAGGCGAUGCGGUUAAUAACCGCGUCGAUUGACGUUACCCGCAGAAGAAGCACCGGCUAACUCCGUGCUAG
rnacentral:rRNA from 1 species